rnacentral:rRNA from 1 species
GACGAACGCUGGCGGCGUGCUUAACACAUGCAAGUCGAACGGAAAGGCGCUGCUUUUGUGGGGUGCUCGAGUGGCGAACGGGUGAGUAACACGUGAGUAACCUGCCCUUGACUUUGGGAUAACUUCAGGAAACUGGGGCUAAUACCGGAUAGGAGCUCCUGCUGCAUGGUGGGGGUUGGAAAGUUUCGGCGGUUGGGGAUGGACUCGCGGCUUAUCAGCUUGUUGGUGGGGUAGUGGCUUACCAAGGCUUUGACGGGUAGCCGGCCUGAGAGGGUGACCGGCCACAUGGGGACUGAGAGACGGCCCAGAAUCCAACGGGAGGCAGCAGUGGGGAAUAUUGCACAAUGGGCGGAAGCCUGAUACAGCAACGCCGCGUGCGGGAUGACGGCCUUCGGGUUGUAAACCGCUUUCGCAUGUGACGAAGCGGGAGUGACGGUAAUGGGUAAAGAAGCACCGGCUAACUACGUG